rnacentral:rRNA from 1 species
AUGAGCUGGACGGCCCACUAUAUCAAAAGCUACCUGUGUGACCUACAACUUAUCUUCAAAGCGCCCAGCAGAGGACGGGCCGAAUCACAGCCGAAGCCGACGACCUGGCUACCACCACGGGAGGGGUAUUCCAAGCUUAUUGUGGAUGCAGCAGUGCCUAGAGUGGGAGGUUUUGGCGCCGUGGGAGCGAUCUGCAGAGAUGCCGCCAGACUGUUUUUGGGUGCAUCCGCCGUUGUGUUCAGAAACAUUGACCAGCCAGAGAUAUUGGAAAGCCUUGCCAAUCGAGAGUCUCUAGCCCUUGCAGACGAUCUAUAUAUCCAAAAAAUUCAAGUCGCCUCUGACUGCAAGUCAGCAGUUGAAGCUAUCCAGCGAGGAACAUCUUCGGCUUAUGGAGCAGUGGUGCAGGAGAUUAAGGAGCAUUCUAGCAGUUUUAUUUCCUAUUUAUUUAGACAUGAGUUUAGAACCUCAAAUGUCGAGGCACACAAACUAGCAAAGCAUGCUUUAACUCUGGGGACCGGUCGCCAUAUUUGGUUAGGCCACCCGGAAGAACUUUCUUUCGUCCCUAUAAGCGUGACGGGUCAAUAA